rfam:Ictidomys tridecemlineatus contig059430, whole genome shotgun sequence.
GCGGUUGUGGCUCAGUGGUAGAGUGCUUGUCUUAUACACAUGAGGCAUUGGGUUCAAUCCUCAGCACCACA